GAAAUCGAUCCUGCAAAAUCAAAAAAAAAAUUUCGGUUUAGAAACUUAUUGAUGGGCUCCGUACAAAUAUUAACUCUAGGUCUCUUCGUCGGAGUCGUGAAACCGUCACGCUUGCGAUUCCCUUUCAGCUUUUGCAGUCACAUAACGCUUCCCAGAAAUUACUAAUCUCACUACAUCCUCUUCAGUUCUUCUUUAAUUCCACCUUAUUCCCUAUGAGAGAUGAACCUGAAUCGUUUCCUUUUCCGACUAAAGCAAUCACCUUCUACUCAUACAAUCUGUUCAACCAUGGCGAGCUCUCAGAUUAGUUCGAAGGCCGGUCGUUGCAGACAGACAGCCAAGACCAGACUCCUGUGAUUUAGGGAAGCCGGGAAUGUUAAGAAAGGUUGGGAGCUGAUGGGCGUCCAUAUGCUGCUCAGUGAUGCAAAGGUUUUGUUUAAUUUUCUUAUACACUGAUUAGUUUUCAAUAAUUACUUUUCAUUCGCACAACAAAGAUCUCGAAAGUCACUGGGAUGUUGAUUAAGGAGUUUGCCAAAUCCCCUCAAGCAAAUCUUGGAAAGGCUGGAGCAUGAAUCUGGGUUCUUUUUCGGUAUGAAGAGGAAACACAUGCUACUUUUAAAUAAGCGAAGAAGUUGGAAAAUGUCUCUCAGGUUUCAAAUGUAUCGUUUGAGUACUGUCUUAAACCGCCAGGAAGCAUAGGAAAACAUUAUGAUAUUGUCAAUGGAACUACUGAAGUCGAACCAACUCCAUAAGAUACAAAGAUGGACCAAAGAGAGGAAUAAACUGCAGAAAACAAAGAAGUUCAAAUAUUAUGGCUGACGGUCUUGAAGAACGUUGAUGUUAAAUUUGAGGAGGUAAAAGAUACUAAAUGUUCUUAGAUUGAAGAGCCUAGAAGAAUCAAACCUGAGAUUUUCUUUAACUGGAGUGCCUAUUUUAAGAACAAUGUCUUGACAAAGUCUUAUCAAAUGAUUGAUGAAGAUGAUCCACUGCUUGAGAAGGCUAUUGAGAGACUGGAGACAUCUCAGGGAACCACUAUAGCUGGAGCGUUGGUCACAACUAAGGAACCAAGAGCUUGAAUUAAGUGUCAGGUAGAUUAAUUUCUUCAUGUCUUUUGAUGUAAAUAAAACAUCUUCUAUGCUCUGAGGUGAGUUAUUUUUCUAUGUUUGAUCAUUGAUGUGCCUGAAAUUUAACGACUUCGAUUAAGUGUUUA